GAAUGAAUUGAAUAGACACAUUAACGAUCGAUUUAUUCAACUAAUCUUUAAUGAUAGAUACGAUCGAUAACGAUUGAACAUUGUUUGUAGAUUCAAUCAACUCAAUUUAUUAAUGAUGGAUACUCGAUCGUAACGAUUGAUACGAUCGAUAACGAUUGAACAUUGUUUGUCGAUUCAAUCAACUCAAAUCAAUACAUACGUGUUAUGACAAAGACUCGAUCAUA
rnacentral:lncRNA from 1 species